rnacentral:tRNA from 1 species
GCUCGGUUAGCUCAGUUGGUUAGAGCGUCGUACUAAUAUUAUAAGAGAUUAUAACAUUGGUGAUGCGAAGGUCAUGAGUUCGACCCUCAUACUGAGCA